rnacentral:rRNA from 1 species
GAGUUUGAUCGUGGCUCAGGAUGAACGCUGGCGGCGUGCCUAAUACAUGCAAGUCGAGCGAACGGACGAGAAGCUUGCUUCUCUGAUGUUAGCGGCGGACGGGUGAGUAACACGUGGAUAACCUACCUAUAAGACUGGGAUAACUUCGGGAAACCGGAGCUAAUACCGGAUAAUAUUUUGAACCGCAUGGUUCAAAAGUAAAAGACGGUCUUGCUGUCACUUAUAGAUGGAUCCGCGCUGCAUUAGCUAGUUGGUAAGGUAACGGCUUACCAAGGCAACGAUGCAUAGCCGACCUGAGAGGGUGAUCGGCCACACUGGAACUGAGACACGGUCCAGACUCCUACGGGAGGCAGCAGUAGGGAAUCUUCCGCAAUGGGCGAAAGCCUGACGGAGCAACGCCGCGUGAGUGAUGAAGGUCUUCGGAUCGUAAAACUCUGUUAUUAGGGAAGAACAUAUGUGUAAGUAACUGUGCACAUCUUGACGGUACCUAACUCAGAAAGCCACGGCUAACUACGUG